rnacentral:rRNA from 1 species
UACGGAGGGUGCGAGCGUUGUUCGGAAUCACUGGGCGUAAAGCGCGUGUAGGCGGCCUGCUAAGUCUGAUGUGAAAGCCCGAGGCUCACCCUCGGAAGUGCAUUGGAAACUGGCAGACUGGAGUCCCGGAGAGGAGGGUGGAAUUCCUGGUGUAGCGGUGAAAUGCGUAGAUAUCAGGAGGAACACCGGUGGCGAAGGCGGCUCGCUGGGCCAAUGCUGACGCUGAGGCGCGAAAGCGUGGGGAGCAAACAGG